rnacentral:tRNA from 1 species
GGGUUGUGGCUCAGCGGUAGAGCGCUCACCUUGCACGCGCAAGACCCUGGGUUCGAUCCUCAGCUCCA